UUUGGAGAAGAAAUCGAAGAUGAGCAUUAGAAGACAGGAGAAACCAAUGAUGGGACAGAAAAAGAAAAAUAUAUUUAAAGAAGAUGGCAUGGAAUAUAAAAUACUACAGGCAGAAGGGAGAAUGCUAUAUAGAAAAACUGAGUGGCACUUAGUGUGAUAAAAUCUUAGUAAGGAGUAUUAUAGAAGACAAAGAAAGGAGGGAAGUGAAAUAGGCCAGCUUAACCAUGUAAGAAUUUCUGUCUGCAGUAAGAUAGUUUGCAUUUUAUUUAUUACAAACUCGGAAUUUUUGAAGCAUCACAUACCUGGAUAUAAUAUUGUUUCAUUUAUUUUUUAAAAAAUGGCUCCUUUUCCUUUGUGAGAACUAGCUCAGAGAAGUUAAUACAGGAAGCUGAAGACAUGAGGUAAAGCAAUGGCCUAGUAUUCGGAAGAUAAUAAAAUAACCCAUGUGAUGACAAAGGAGAAAGAAAAUAAAGAAAUACACAUAAAAUUUUAUGAAAUAAUGGACUUAGAAAUAAAAGAUGAGGAAGAGAUCACAAAUAAUAGCAAGAGCUCACAACUGAGCAAGUGGCAGCAUGUAAUUUAAAGACAUGCUGUGAAAAUGAAGAUGAGGUAACUGAGAGAAUAGUGAGACAGAAGAAAAGGGACAAUAAUAAACCAUAGAUAGAGAAGGAGGAUGAGUGAAAGGCUUUGAGCAGGCUGUUGCUCCUGAAGUCAAGAGAAGAGGGUAUCUUCAGAAAUAUGGAUGGCCCUUCUGUAGCAGUCACAUCAGAGGUUAAAUAAGGACAUCUAUAAUAUCCUUUAUAUCGUGUUCCUUCAACUGCUGAUGCUUGUCACCUGACACGGUAGUGGUUGCUAAGGUUUCUGGCAUUCUUCAAAGUUGUGAAACAAGACAUAUUAUCUGUGUGGAGCUCCUACAUAGUGGAAAGUUGGACAAAAAUGUAGAGAAGUAAAUAAAUAAAUGGCUAUGAAAGUAGACGAUUGUUAUAUCUUAAACAUAAAAUAAAUUUGGGACCUAUAAUAGAGAGUAUUCAUAGCCUGACUAGGAGGGUAUGGUCAGAAAAGACUUUUCAAGAGUGACUUCUUCAGUAAGACCUAGAUAACAAGUCAACCAUGCAAAUCUCUGAGGAAAGAGCAUUCUACCAAGAAGCAGAAACUAGUGCCACAAUCCUGAAGCAGAAAAAGCACUGCAACUUUAAAUACAGUUGUCCCUUCUCAUCUGUGGUUUCACUUACUGUAAUUUUAGUUACUUGUGAUCAACUGCAGUCUGAAAGUAUUAAAUGGAAGAUCCCAGAAAUAAACAAUUUGUAAAUUCAAAAUUGCACACCAUUCUGAGUAACAUAAUAAAACCAUGUCACCCAGAAUGUGAACCUUCCCUUCAUCCAGUGUCUCCACACUGGUUCCACAGUGUCUCCACAGAGUGUCCACACUAUACAUGCUACCCACUUAGUAGCCAGCUUGGAAAUCAGAAUAACUAUAUUAAGUUGUCGUGUUCAAGUAGUAAUGGCUCCAAAGUGCAACAGUAGGGAUUCUGGCAAUUCAGAAAAGCCAAAGAGAAGGUGAAAAAUCCUACCUUGUUUGUUAAUCUCUUACUGUGCCUAAUUUAUAAAUUAAACGUUAUCAUAGACAUUUAUGUAUAGAAAAAACAUAGUAUAUAUGAGGUUCAGUACUAUCUCUGGUUUCAGACAACCACUGGAAUUCUUGAAUGAAUACCAUGGGAUAAGGGGAGACUAAUGUACAAAGAAAGUCAAUGUGGCUGAAGGAGAGACAUAUCAGAAGAUGAAUAGGAGAGGAUGAAGAAAGUCAGAAGGCACUUUAUGUACGAGCUUGUAAAGUGAGAUCAGAGAGAAUUUUAUUCUAAGGCUAAAGGGAAGGCACAGAUAUUUUUAAGCAACAGAAUCAAUGAUCUACUUAAUUUAUUAUGUAAUAAUUAUUAGAUCAUAUUGUUUGCAAUUUAGAGAGUACAGAGAACAAGACUCAAAUAAAAAGGACAAGUAAAAGAUCAGUCUUGAAGACUAUUAAAUUGGUUCAGGACAAAAUGUGUGAUGGAUUUUUCAAGGGUGGUGGUUAAGAUACACAGAGAGUGGAAGGCUUUGGUUUGGCUAUGGAGGCUUUCCCCCAUUGCUUACUUUGGUCAACUUUGUCAAAGAUCAGACAGUUGUAGGUGUUUGGCUUUACUUCUGAGUGCUCUAUUGUUUUCCAUCAUCUAUGUAUUUGUGUGUGUUUUGUUUUCUAAUAAUCCCUAGGUUUACAUAUGUUUCAGUUUUGUACAAGUACCAUUCUGGUUUUGUUACUAUAUCUUAUACUACAGUUUGAUAUCAAGUAACGUGAUGCUUCUGCUCGGGAUUGUGGGGUUUUGUUAUUGUUUUUGUUGUUUUUGCUUAAGAUUGCUUUAGCUAUUCAGGCUCUUUUUUGGUUACACAUGAAUUUUAGAAGGGUUUUUUUCAAAUUCCAUGAAAAAUGACAUUGGUAGUUCGAUAGGAAUAGUAUUAAGUCUGUAGAUUUCUGUGGUCAGUGUGGCCAUUUUAACAAUAUUGAUUAUUAUUGUUAGGUUUUUUAGAUAGAACUGAUAGAAUUGAUUGAGCUAGAUAAAGAAAGUAAUGAAAAGUGACUUUGUUUUGAGUGGGUUUUUUUGUUGUUUUGUUUAUUGGCUUGAGCUUAUAGAUGAGAUAAUUAUGCCAUUUACUGAAAUAGGAAAAGGGAAUGGGAAUAUGAGAAUCAAGAGUUUCCCUUUGGGGAUAUUAAUUAUAAGAUAAAUACUAGCUAUUCAAGGACAAAUAAAGCAUAAACCUACUUAUAAAAAUCUAACAAGCUUAACUUCAAUUUGCAAUGUUAUUAGCAGUAUUGAGUGGUUAUUCACAAAAUAAAAAUAAUGAAACCAAUUCUUCUUAAAUAUUAUUUUUUUAUUUUCAACGAAAAGAUUUUAGAUGAGGGCUUUAGUUGUAUCAAAUAAUGUAUAAUCUUGUACAUAUGUACUUAAAUAGCAUAUUGAAGACAUUAAUGUGAUAUGCAAGUGUGAUAUGAUAUUGUGUAUAUCUGUACAUAAAUUUCUAUGUGCAUGGUUUGCCAAUCUGAUGGAAUUCACUAAAUAAUUAUUGACCAUCUACUAUGCAGUAGAUAUAAGUAACAUAUAGUGAAAGAGCUUGUAGUUGACUUAUUGUUUUUUUUCCUGUAAACUUAAACUUUGGUGAUUGCUAAUGCAUCACUUGGAUAAUAUAGUCAAUCAUUUAAAAUAUAUUUAGUCUGCUAAUUAUUUUCAAGUGUGUUACAAAUAAUUCAAGGCAAAUAAUAAAGAGUCCUACUAUAUUCAAAUGCUUAUUCCAAUGCAUGUUAGGAUACUUGCCUUUUCCAAAGUCAUUUCAAAGUAUUUUGCAUGAGUUCAAUUUUAUUUUAAGACCUGCACUAAUAAUACUAUCUGGCAGUAACUGCUUUGGAUCACAGUGGAUCCUCCAAGAUUUAUGUUUUACCUUUAGCUAUAAAAUCCUUACAACAUCUAUUUUUUCUGGAUAGUUUUUAUAUUAUCAUUUUUAGCCUCAAUCCAGAAUUAUUCCUUGUAAUGUGAAAAAAGUUAUAAGGCAAUUUCCACUCAUCCGGUUCUUAUGGAGGAUAGCAAUAUUCUUUAUUGCUAGAAGGUAUUUUUAUCUUUGUUUAUUCACCUUUUCUUUCUUGUUACUGUAAAGGUCUUAAACCAUUACCAGAAAUACAAGAGGGAAGGCAUUUUGAGAAGACAUUAUGUAAUCAUUGUAACUUCAUUUGCUAUUAAGAUUCUCUUCAUGUGAAUUAUAUUAAAAGGUGCAUUUACUCCAACACAAUCACUUAUUUCUUACUUUCUACUUAUAGCACCUUUCCAUACAGGUAAUUCAGAACAAAGAGGCAGUCAUAAAACAUGUCCUGUUUAUUACAAAUUAGAAAAGAUGACAUAUUUAGGAAAUUCACAAUGAUGCAGACAGAUUUUUGAUAUAAUGCAAUAUUAUUAUUAUGCAUUCUUUGAGGAUCUAUUAUGUAUCAUUUCAAAGUAAGAUAUGAGUUUAAACUAGAACAAAAUAUUUUGGAAUGGAGUGGAGUGGGUGAAAUACUUUCUGUAAGUAAAGAGUUGUCAAAAUUCAUGUAGGGUGAAUAAAAGAAUGUAUGUAAUUUGAAGUUCCACAAAUCUCCAAAUUAUGAAGCCUCAUUCUCACAGCAUAUAGAAACAAAAUAACAAUCAAUAAUAUAAUACUGAAAUAUAAUUUCAACUCUGGUUCUAAGAUUAUGUUCUCUAGUAAAUUAUAUGGGUAAGACUAAUAAUUAAUUGCAUUAAUAAUAUUAAUACUGAUGUGCCAAUUUGCAAUGUCACUAACAGUAGCGAGUGGUUAUUCAGAAAAUAAAAAUAAGAAAACCAAUUCUUCUAAAAGCUUAUUUUUCUUUGCAAUGAAAAUAUUUUAGAUGAGGAUUUUAGUUUUAUCAUAUAGUUUAUAAUCUUAUAUAAUUUGUACUUAAGUAGUAUAUCAAAGGCAUUGAUUUUAUAUUCAAGUGCGAUGUAGAUAUUAUGUGUAUGUGUACACAAAUUUAUAUAUGCAGGGUUUACCAAUCUGAUGGCCAUGUGUAACUUGCACUCUGUGGAUGUAUUGAGAAUAUCCAAUAUGUUAAACAGACCAAGAUCUUUUGCCUGUGUGGGUUAGAAAUUAGAUUUGGAAAGCAUAAUAAAAAUUGCAACAUGUUCCUGUUGUUCAGAACAGAGAAAGAUUGCUUCCUAUUGGUUGGUAUUUCAGAAGGCUAUGUUUAGAAUACAGAAUCUGAGCCAGGUCUUGCAGGAUAAGUGGGAUUUUAACAAGCAUGUAUAUUAAUUUAAGUCAAUAACAGAAGUAUAUCAGAGUCAUGAUGAAGAACAUUAUAGAAUGGCAAAAAAUCCAAGUUAUUCGUAUGUGAAUAUAAAUACUGAAGACAAAUAUUGGAAAAGGAAUCUGGAAAUAGGUUGUGUUGUUUUAGUUUAUUUAAUGAUGCUUUGUUAAGCUGAAUAUAGCUUGGUUCAUUUUGGAUUAAUGUAUU
rnacentral:lncRNA from 1 species